GACGAACGCUGGCGGCGUGCUUAACACAUGCAAGUCGAACGGAAAGGCCCUGCUUUUGUGGGGUGCUCGAGUAGCGAACGGGAGAGUAACACGUGAGUAACCUGACCUUGACUUUGGGAUAACAUCAGGAAACUAGGGCUAAUACCGGAAAGGAGCUCCUCCUGCAUGGUGGGGGUUGGAAAGUUUCGGCGGUUGGGGAUGGACUCGCGGCUUAUCAGCUUGUUGGUGGGGUAGUGGCUUACCUAGGCUUGGACGGGUAGCCGGCCUGAGAGGGUGACCGGCCAAAUUGGGACGGAGAUACGGCACAGACUCCUACGGGAGGCAGCGGUGGGGAAUAUUGCACAAUGGGCUGAAGCCAGAUGCGGCAACGCCGCGUGCGGGAUGACGGGCUGCGGGUAGUGAAGCGCAUCCGCCUUUGACGAAGAGUGAGUGACGGUAAUGGAUAAAGAAGCACCGGCUAACUUCGUG
rnacentral:rRNA from 1 species